GUUUACCAUUCUUCUAUUACAGGACCCUCUCCGGAUAGUGAAGCUAUUGGUCAGGUGGAGUAUUCAUUUCCACUGCCUUCAACUGAGCCCUCAGACGACUCAGAAGAUAUAAGCACUGAAGCGUAUGCAGUGGGGUGGAGGCUGGAGGUGUAUCUCUCAAUUUGUUUCUCUUUGGCCAGUCAGGAACAUACUCUAGUACAGGGUCUGAAGAUGCCUUCUGGGAAGGCUCAUACUCACUCCCCGACUAGUCAAUAGCUCCGUCUGCAGCUCUUAUGAUCCUCCUUGUGUUCUUUAUGUUUUGUCAGACUUUUAGGGUCAAUAUUAUCACUCCUAAUCCCCUACCUCGAGAGGACUCCUCUCUUCCUGAUUGUUUACCACCUUUGCCUCGCGAUUUCACCAUUGUCUGCAAACAAUAUUCAGUUAUGCUUUGGUAGUAUCAGUAGGAACAAUAAAAUGCAAAGUUGCAAAAAAAAUUGUUGUAGAAAGUGUAAAUGUUGCAGAAUGCGGACCACACAAAAUGAGGUGCGGCCACAAAGAG
rnacentral:lncRNA from 1 species